GACGAACCGAGCGAACGUUGUUCGGAAUCACUGGGCUUAAAGGGCGCGUAGGCGGGCUGCCGCGUCCGGGGUGAAAUCCCACGGCUCAACCGUGGAACGGCCUCGGAUACGGGCGGCCUCGAGGGGGGUAGGGGCAUCUGGAACUGUGAGUGGAGCGGUGAAAUGCGUUGAUAUUCACAGGAACUCCGGUGGCGAAGGCGAGGUGCUGGACCCCAUCUGACGCUGAGGCGCGAAAGCCAAGGGAGCGAACGGG
rnacentral:rRNA from 1 species